AACGCAUAUUGCGCCCGCCAGUACUCUGGCGGGCAUGCCUGUUCGAGCGUCGUUUCACCACUCGGGCUCCGGUCCGGUGUCGGGGUACUGCGGUACCACCUGCAGGUCCCAAGAUACAGCGGCGGAUCGGUCGCGGUCCUGAGCGCAGUACGAGUCUCGCUCCGGCGGCCGCGGCCUGGCCUCGCCUUGCACCGAUAGCGGCAUAACGUGCCGUCGCAGUCGACCUCGAAUCAAGCAAGACUACCCGCUGAACUUAA
rnacentral:misc_RNA from 1 species